UACGAGGGGGGCAAGCGUUGUUCGGAAUUAUUGGGCGUAAAGGGUGCGUAGGCGGUGCGGUAAGUCUGUUGUGAAAUCUCCGGGCUCAACUCGGAGUCUGCAUCAGAAACUGCCGUGCUGGAGUGUGGGAGAGGUGAGUGGAAUUCCCGGUGUAGCGGUGAAAUGCGUAGAGAUCGGAAGGAACACCUGUGGCGAAAGCGGCUCACUGGACCACAACUGACGCUGAGGCACGAAAGCUAGGGUAGCGAAAGGG
rnacentral:rRNA from 1 species